GACGAACGCUGGCGGCGCGCUUAACACAUGCAAGUCGAACGGAAAGGCCUGCUUUCCCUUGUGGAUUGCGGGUACUCGAGUGGCGAACGGGUGAGUAACACGUGAGUGAUCUGCCCCCAACUUGGGUAUAAGCCUGGGAAACUGGGUCUAAUUCCCGAUAGGACUGCAGGGUGGUGCCUGUGGUUGAAAACGAUUUUCUAGUGGUUGGGGAUGGGCUCUCGGCCUAUCAGCUUGUUGGUGGGGUAAUGGCCUACCAAGGCGGCGACGGGUAGCCGGCCUGAGAGGGUGGACGGGCACAGUGGGACUGAGAUACGGCCCAGACUCCUACGGGAGGCAGCAGUGGGGAAGAAGGCACAAGGGGCGGAGGCCUGAGGCAGCGACGCCGCGUGGGGGAUGACGGCCUUCGGGUGGUAAACUCCUUUCGACCGCGAGGAAGCCACCUGGUUGGAAGGGUGGUGACGGUAGUGGUAGAAGAAGCACCGGCUAACUACGUG
rnacentral:rRNA from 1 species